CACGUAGUUAGCCGGUGCUUCUUCUACCACUACCGUCACUUACGCUUCGUCAUGGUUGAAAGGAGUUUACAACCCGAAGGCCGUCAUCCCCCACGCGGCGUCGCUGCAUCAGGCUUGCGCCCAUUGUGCAAUAUUCCCCACUGCUGCCUCCCGUAGGAGUCUGGGCCGUGUCUCAGUCCCAAUGUGGCCGUCCACCCUCUCAGGCCGGCUACCCGUCGACGCCUUGGUAGGCCAUUACCCCACCAACAAGCUGAUAGGCCGCGAGCUCAUCCUGCACCGAAAAAACUUUCCACCACCGACACUAAACGAUGGUCCUAUCCGGUAUUAGACCCAGUUUCCCAGGCUUAUCCCGAAGUGCAGGCAGAUCACCCACGUGUUACUCACCCGUUCGCCACUCGAGUACCCUGCAAGCAGGGCCUUUCCGUUCGACUUGCAUGUGUUAAGCACGCCGCAGCGUGUCUGAGCAGGAUCGAAACUCUACUCGAGACUCGACCACGACACAC
rnacentral:rRNA from 1 species